rnacentral:rRNA from 1 species
GACGUAGGAUGCAAGCGUUGUCCGGAAUUAUUGGGCGUAAAGAGUUCGUAGGCGGUUAUCUAAGUCUGGGGUUAAAGCCCGAAGCUCAACUUCGGCAUGGCAUUGGAAACUGGGUAGCUAGAGUGUGGUAGAGGUAUCGGGAAUUCCUGGUGUAGCGGUGAAAUGCGUAGAUAUCAGGAGGAACACCGGCGGCGAAGGCGGUUCUCUGGGCAUUACCUGACGCUGAGGAGCGAAAGUGUGGGGAGCGAACAGG